UAAAAGAUAGCCAUGGUGUCUUGAGCCAACUAUUAUCAUUAAUCCAGUUCUGCACAUCUGAGAGUUAUU
rnacentral:snoRNA from 1 species